GGGCAGGCAUAAUGCCGCCGAGGGAUUUUAUGAAAGGAAUUGCAUAGCUUGGAAAGUGAGCCAGAAACCCACACUCCAAGGAAUAGGUUGAAAGUUGCCCUUAAUGUGAUCUUCAAGGCUCCCAGUCAAGUGCAGAAAGCCAGUGUAAAGACAGGAGGCCAAUUGUUGGAAAAGGUCAUCCCUGCUUUCAUCAGCUGACACGUGAACCGGUGAACGGUACCAUAUCAAUGAA